rnacentral:rRNA from 1 species
CCUACGGGAGGCAGCAGUAGGGAAUUUUCGUCAAUGGGCGCAAGCCUGAACGAGCAAUGCCGCGUGAACGAGGAAGGUCUUCGGAUCGUAAAGUUCUGUUGAAGGGGAAAAAGAGCGGAGAGAGGAAAUGGUCUCCGAUUGAUAUUACCCUUCGAGGAAGUCACGGCUAACUACGUGCCAACAGCCGCGGUAAUAAGUAGGUGGCGAGCGUGAACCGGAAUGAAUGGGCGUAAAGGGUGCGUAGGCGGACUGCUAAGUCUGGAGUGAAAGGUACCGGCUCGACCGGUACAGGCUCUGGAAACUGGCGGGCUAGAGAGCAGGAGAGGGCUGUGGAACUCCAGGUGUAGCGGUAAAAUGCGUAGAUAUAUGGAAGAACACCAGUGGCGAAGGCGGCCGCCUGGCCUGUUACUGACGCUGAGGCACGAAAGCGUGGGGAGCAAAUAGGAUUAGAUACCCUUGUAGUC